rnacentral:rRNA from 1 species
CCGGCGACCGGCGGACGGGUGCGUAACGCGUAUGUAACCUACCUUUGACAGGGGGAUAACAUCGAGAAAUUGGUACUAAUACCCCAUAACAUCACCGGAGGCAUCUUCGGUGGUUGAAAACUCAGGUGGUCAGAGAUGGACAUGCGUUGUAUUAGCUAGUUGGUGAGGUAACGGCUCGCCAAGGCGACGAUACAUAGGGGGACUGAGAGGUCAACCCCCCACAUUGGUACUGAGACACGGACCAAACUCCUACGGAAGGCAGCAG